ACGUGAUCUGAGUUCAGACCGGAGUAAUCCAGGUCAGUUUCUAUCUAUAAAGAGAUUUUUCCAGUACGAAAGGACCGAAAAAACAUGGCCAAUAUUUAAACAAGCCAUAUCUAUUAAAUUGUGUAUCAAACUUAACAACUUUCUAGACUUCACUUGAACUCAAAAAAAGAGCA
rnacentral:rRNA from 1 species